ACAGUAGAUAACGAAUGGGGGGACAACACAACACAACCUUGACCUUGAGUUUGACCCCGCCCAUUUUCCCUCUCUUUCUUUCAAGGCCACUCGUUCUCUCUCUUACUUUUUCAAGGCCAAUCCCUCCCACUUCCCCCACCACUUCAAGGCCAAGGCAAUAUUGGACCUUGAUGUUUUCAAGGCCAAGGUCCCCACUUUUGCAAGGCCAACAACUUCCCUCUUUAUUUAUCAUUCAAGGUCACUGCAGCUAAUAUAUAUAGAAUUCAAUACAAAUUCAAAAACAGUAUCUAAUAAGUAUUUCUCAAUAUUAAAGUAGUAAAAAAAUGUGGUAUCGUUUUACUUGUGAAGGUGUCAUAAUAGUGGAAGAAACGUGUUUCCACAACCAGUUAGGACACAUAUCUUUGGAAGGUGGUUGGGAACGUUUCUUUAAUAGAGUGGUUGUGUGUGAACAGUGUAGUACUAAGGACAUUUCUAUUAUUAAUCCAGAUGGGUGGAAUAAUUCUUUAAGUAUUGACAUUACUUGUAAUGAAGAAGAAUUUAAAGAGUUACUUAGAAAAUAUGGUUUCCUUUGUCAUAAGUGUAAAACUCCGUGCUACACAGCUAGCCAAGUGGAUCCGGAAAAUGCCCAAAAAAUUAUAGCUAUAUACCACUAACUUAAAUCAGCAUAAUGGAAGUUGACAAUGAUCCUUACUGCUACAUGCUCUUUUGCCUGUCUCCAAAGGACUGUAGUAACAGAAAAUUCUUUUGUUUGAAAUGUGUGAAGAUUAUGGCAGUGAGAUUUCACAUUUGUCAUCUACAUGUGACUUCAGUGUUAAACUACAAGUGUUUUUGGUGUAAUACAGUAAUAGGACAGAAUUCUCAGUUGUGUGGAAAUAAUUUAAUAAACAAAAUGACUGUUAAAAUAUGGUAUUUUAGUAGAGAGCGACAAAUGAUGUUUUAUGAUUCUGAUGACUAUGAUUCUGACGACUCAUCAAGUAGCUGUGAUAGUGGUAUAGAAUGUUAGUUAGUUAAUAAGAGUAGAAAUUAGAUAUAAACAACUUGUAACCUUAGAUUAAAUUAGUAUCUAGAUUGUUCUUUUGGUGUAUGGAUAAAAGUAAAUAAAUGAAGUUAUAUAAUAAA